rnacentral:rRNA from 1 species
GAUGAACGCUGGCGGCGUGCCUAAUACAUGCAAGUAGAACGCUGAAGGAGGAGCUUGCUCUUCUGGAUGAGUUGCGAACGGGUGAGUAACGCGUAGGUAACCUGCCUGGUAGCGGGGGAUAACUAUUGGAAACGAUAGCUAAUACCGCAUGACAACAGUUAUUGCAUGAUAAUUGUUUAAAAGGGGCAACUGCUCCACUACCAGAUGGACCUGCGUUGUAUUAGCUAGUUGGUGAGGUAACGGCUCACCAAGGCGACGAUACAUAGCCGACCUGAGAGGGGGAUCGGCCACACUGGGACUGAGACACGGCCCAGACUCCUACGGGAGGCAGCAGUAGGGAAUCUUCGGCAAUGGACGGAAGUCUGGCCGAGCAACGCCGGGUGAGUGAAGAAGGUUUUCGGAUCGUAAAGCUCUGUUGUAAGAGAAGAACGAGUGUGGGAGUGGAAAGUUCACACUGUGACGGUAUCUUACCAGAAAGGGACGGCUAACUACGUG